GACGAACGCUGGCGGCGUGCCUAAUACAUGCAAGUCGAGCGAACAGACGAGGCGUUUGCUCCUCUGACGUUAGCGGCGGAGGGGUGAGUAACAUGUGGAUAACCUACCUAUAAGACUGGGAUAAUUACGGGAAACCGGAGCUUAUACCGGAUAAUAUAUUGAACCGCAUGGUUCAAUAGUGAAAGACGGUUUUGCUGUCACUUAUAGAUGGAUCCGCGCCGCAUUGGUUAGUUGUUAAGGUAAAGGCUUACCAAGGCGAGGAUGCGUAGCCGACCUGAGGGGGUGGUCGGCCACACGGGAACUGAGACACGGUCCAGACUCCUGCGGGAGGGAGCAGUAGGGAAUCUUACGCAAUGGGGGAGAGCCUGACAGAGCAACGCCGAGUGAGUGAUGAAGGUCUUCGGAUCGGAAAGCUCUGUUAUUAGGGGAGAACAAAUGUGUAAGUACCUAUGCACGUCUUGACGGUACCUGGUCAGAAAGCCACGGCUAACUACGUG
rnacentral:rRNA from 1 species